AUGAUUCGUUAGCAGCACUUAUACCAACAUGGGUACGAUACAGAGAACAUUAGCGGGGCCUCUUGAGCAAGGAUGGCACACAAAAUCGUAACAGGCGUUUAAAAGUGAA
rnacentral:snRNA from 1 species